GCGCUAUCAGGGAAACGUUGGCUAGUCUUGUCGUCUGUCCGUCCAUGCUUCACUGCGUGGCUCGGCGAUGCGUCAGAACCCAUCGGGACCGGGAGACACGGUGGCAGUGGAAUCGGCCCUUCGGGGUGUUGUAACUCUGCCCACACGAGCGCCCGGGACGGAUGCGGCCGUGAGCACGCAGCAAUGUUGUGCUCCCUCUGGCAAUAGGCUCAGUCACCGACCCGUCUUGAAACACGGACCAAGGAGUGUAUCUUGCUUGCGAGUCGAAGGGUCUGUAAACCUGGAGGCGUAGCGAAAGCGUCGACUGUGAAUCCGCGAGGAGGCGACAGUGCCCGUGCUCUGCACGAGGUGGAGCAAGUAGGAUGCGACCCGAAAGAUGGUGAACUAUGCCCGGGUAGGAUGAAGCCGGUGGAAACGCCGGUGGAGGUCCGUAGCGGUUCUGACGUGCAAAUCGAUCGUGUAACCCGGGUAUAGGGGCGAAAGACCUAUCGAACCGUCUAAUGGCUGGUUCCCCCCGAAGUUUCCCUCAGGAUAGC
rnacentral:rRNA from 1 species